rnacentral:tRNA from 1 species
GCCCCAUUUGUCUAAUGGUUAUGACGUCAGACUUCUAAUCUGGAGGUUGCGAGUUCGAGUCUCGCAUGGGGUU